ACGGGGCGCAGCAGGCGCGAAAACUUUACAAUGCGGGCAACCGUGAUAAGGAAACCCCGAGUGCCACCACAGGGUGGCUGUCCACCAGUGUAAAAAACUGGUGAAGAGAGGGCCGGGCAAGACCGGUGCCAGCCGCCGCGGUAAUACCGGCGGCUCGAGUGGUGGCCGCUUUUACUGGGCUUAAAGGGUCCGUAGCUGGAUCUGUGUGUCCCUUGAGAAAUCCAUCGGCUUAACUGAUGGGCGUUCAGGGGAAACUGCAGUUCUAGGGACCGGGAGAGGUGAGAGGUACUGCCGGGGUAGGAGUGAAAUCCUGUAAUCC
rnacentral:rRNA from 1 species